AAUUCCACGUGUAGCGGUGAAAUGCGUAGAGAUGUGGAGGAACACCAGUGGCGAAGGCGACUCUCUGGUCUGUAACUGACGCUGAGGAGCGAGAGCGUGGGGAGCGAACAGGAUUAGAUACCCUGGUAGUCCACGCCGUAAACGAUGAGUGCUAAGUGUUAGGGGGUUUCCGCCCCUUAGUGCUGCAGCUAACGCAUUAAGCACUCCGCCUGGGGAGUACGGUCGCAAGACUGAAACUCAAAGGAAUUGACGGGGGCCCGCACCAGCGGUGGAGCAUGUGGUUUAAUUUGAAGCAACGCGAAGAACCUUACCAGGUCUUGACAUCCUUUGACAACCCUAGAGAUAGGGCUUUCCCUUCGGGGACAGAGUGACAGGUGGUGCAUGGUUGUUGUCAGCUCGUGUCGUGAGAUGUUGGGUUAAGUCCCGCAACGAGCGCAACCCUUGAUUUUAGUUGCCAGCAUUCAGUUGGGCACUUUAAGGUGACUGCCGGUGACAAACCGGAGGAAGGUGGGGAUGACGUCAAAUCAUCAUGCCCCUUAUGACCUGGGCUACACACGUGCUACAAUGGACAGAACAAAGGGCUGCGAGACCGCAAGGUUUAGCCAAUCCCACAAAUCUGUUCUCAGUUCGGAUCGCAGUCUGCAACUCGACUGCGUGAAGCUGGAAUCGCUAGUAAUCGCGGAUCAGCAUGCCGCGGUGAAUACGUUCCCGGGCCUUGUACACACCGCCCGUCACACCACGAGAGUUUGCAACACCCGAAGUCGGU
rnacentral:rRNA from 1 species